rnacentral:rRNA from 1 species
GACGAACGCUGGCGGCGUGCUUAACACAUGCAAGUCGAACGGAAAGGCCUCUUUCGGGGGGUACUCGAGUGGCGAACGGGUGAGUAACACGUGAGUAACCUGCCCUUGACUUUGGGAUAACUUCAGGAAACUGGGGCUAAUACCGGAUAGGAGCUCCUGCUGCAUGGUGGGGGUUGGAAAGUUUCGGCGGUUGGGGAUGGACUCGCGGCUUAUCAGCUUGUUGGUGGGGUAGUGGCUUACCAAGGCUUUGACGGGUAGCCGGCCUGAGAGGGUGACCGGCCAAAUUGGGACUGAGAUACGGCCCAGACUCCUAAGGGAGGCAGCAGUGGGGAAUAUUGCACAAUGGGUGGAAGCCUGAUGCAGCAACGCCGUGUGCGGGAUGACGGCCUUCGGGUUGUAAACCGCUUUCGCUCAUGACGAAGCUUUGUGUGACGGUAGUGGGUAAAGAAGCACCGGCUAACUACGUG